AACAAGUGAACAAAGGUCUCUGGUUUUCCUAGGCAGAGGACCCUGCGGCCUUCCGAAGUGUUUGUGUCCCUGGGUACUUAAGAUUAGGGAGUGGUGAUGACUCUUAACGAGCAUGCUGCCUUCAAGCAUCUGUUUAACAAAGCACAUCUUGCACCGCCCUUAAUCCAUUUAACCCUGAGUGGACACAGCACAUGUUUCAGAGAGCACAGGGUUGGGGAUAAGGUCACAGAUCAACAGGAUCCCAAGGCAGAAGAAUUUUUCUUAGUACAGAACAAAAUGAAAAGUCUCCCAUGUCUACUUCUAUCCACACAGACCCGGCAACCAUCCGAUUUCUCAAUUUUUUCCCCACCCUUCCCGCCUUUCUAUUCCACAAAACCGCCAUUGUCAUCAUGGCCCAUCCCCAAUGAGCCGCUGGGCACACCUCCCAGACGGGGUUGUGGCCGGGCAGAGGGGCUCCUCACUUCCCAGUAGGGGCGGCCGGGCAGAAGCGCCCCUCACCUCCCGGAUGGGGCGGCUGGCCGGGCGGGGGGCUGACCCCCCCACCACACUCCCGGACGGGGCGGCUGGCCAGGCAGAGGGGCUCCUCACUUCCCAGUAGGGGCGGCCGGGCAGAGGCGCCCCUCACCUC
rnacentral:lncRNA from 10 species